rnacentral:rRNA from 1 species
GGUUCAUUCAAAUUUCUUCCCUAUCAACUUUCGAUGUUUGGGUAUUGGCCAAACAUGGUUGCAACGGGUAACGGAGGGGUUAGGGCUCGCCCCGGAGAAGGAGCCUGAGAAACGGCUACUACAUCCAAGGAAGGCAGCAGGCGCGCAAAUUACCCAAUCCCGACCGGGGAGGUAGUGACAAUAAAUACUGAUACAGGGCUCUUUUGGGUCUUGUAAUUGGAAUGAGUACAAUUUAAAUCCCUUAACGAGGAACAAUUGGAGGGCAAGUCUGGUGCCAGCAGCCGCGGUAAUCCCAGCUCCAAUAGCGUAUAUUAAGGUUGUGGUGGUUAAAAAGGCUGUAGUUG